rnacentral:rRNA from 1 species
GACGAACGCUGGCGGCGUGCUUAACACAUGCAAGUCGAACGGAAAGGCCUCUUUCGGGGGGUACUCGAGUGGCGAACGGGUGAGUAACACGUGAGUAACCUGCCCUUGACUUUGGGAUAACUUCAGGAAACUGGGGCUAAUACCGGAUAGGAGCUCCUGCUGCAUGGAGGGGGUUGGAAAGUUUCGGCGGUUGGGGAUGGACUCGCGGCUUAUCCGCUUGUUGGUGGGGUAGUGGCUUACCAAGGCUUUGACGGGUAGCCGGCCUGAGGGGGUGACCGGCCACAUUGGGACUGAGAUACGGCCCAGACUCCGACGGGAGGCAGCAGUGGGGAAUAUUGCACAAGGGGUGGAAGCCUGAUGCAGCAACGCCGUGUGCGGGAUGACGGCCUUCGGGUUGUAAACCGCUUUCGCUCAUGACGAAGCUUUGUGUGACGGUAGUGGGUAAAGAAGCACCGGCUAACUACGUG